rnacentral:rRNA from 1 species
AUUGAACGCUGGCGGCAGGCCUAACACAUGCAAGUCGAACGGUAACAGGAAGCAGCUUGCUGCUUUGCUGACGAGUGGCGGACGGGUGAGUAGUGUCUGGGAAACUGCCUGAUGGAGGGGGAUAACUACUGGAAACGGUAGCUAAUACCGCAUAACGUCGCAAGACCAAAGAGGGGGACCUUCGGGCCUCUUGCCAUCGGAUGUGCCCAGAUGGGAUUAGCUAGUAGGUGGGGUAACGGCUCACCUAGGCGACGAUCCCUAGCUGGUCUGAGAGGAUGACCAGCCACACUGGAACUGAGACACGGUCCAGACUCCUACGGGAGGCAGCAGUGGGGAAUAUUGCACAAAGGGCGCAAGCCUGAUGCAGCCAUGCCGCGUGUAUGAAGAAGGCCUUCGGGUUGUAAAGUACUUUCAGCGGGGAGGAAGGGAGUAAAGUUAAUACCUUUGCUCAUUGACGUUACCCGCAGAAGAAGCACCGGCUAACUCCGUG